rnacentral:rRNA from 1 species
UACGUAGGGUGCAAGCGUUAAUCGGAAUUACUGGGCGUAAAGCGUGCGCAGGCGGUGAUGUAAGACAGUUGUGAAAUCCCCGGGCUCAACCUGGGAACUGCAUCUGUGACUGCAUCGCUGGAGUACGGUAGAGGGGGAUGGAAUUCCGCGUGUAGCAGUGAAAUGCGUAGAUAUGCGGAGGAACACCGAUGGCGAAGGCAAUCCCCCU